GUUUCCAUAUUUGUUCCCCAGGAAGAAGAAAUGCCAGAUGUGGAAAUUGACAUUGAUGAUCUUCUUGAUGCAGACAGUGAAGAAGAGAGGGCUUUAAAAUUACGGGAAGCUCUUGUAGACUGCUACAAACCAACAGAGGAGUUCGUCAAGGAGCUGCUCUCUCGGAUAAGAGGCAUGAGGAAGUUGAGCCCCCCGCAGAAGAAGGCUGUAUAAUUCCAGCCCAGGUGGAACUCUGCUGGAGACCCAGGAAGGAAUUUGGACUUCAAGAAGACUUUUCUUAAAGAACUGUUGUCCUUAUGAGCAACUAUUUUGGGGGGUGGGGAGGGGUGGUAUCUAUUAGACAUUUAUUCAAGAGUGUUCCUUUUUUGGUUUUUAAAGGUUUGGUUGCUGUAAUAUUUUAAUAGCAAAGAUAUCACAGACUCUGGCUUCAGCCCAACCAGAGAGCAUCAAAUCAGGCAGACACGGAAGGAGGGGCUGGACCAGGCAGCAUCUUCUUAGAGAAACCAGAUGUUAAGGACCUAACGAUACAGGGAUGAUGGUUUUCUUACAGCUAGUUUGUUAAUACUUUUUUCUUGAGUUGUACAUUUGACACAGAGGUCAAAUUUCUUGUACUUGUAUAUAUCUACAGGCAAUUAAGUUAAAAUGUGGAUGUGAGUUUUAUUUCACACAGAUGGAACAAACUUGUGGUCGUCCUUUUAUUGGAGGUCAUGGUACGUGUGUUUUCAAGAGGCCACUAGGUCUUCUUCGUGUGAGUGCUGGAGACCUCCAAUGUUCACUUUCUGCAGCAAAGUGAAAAGAACUCAGCGUAUCUUUAAUGAGCUACACUACAACAAUGUGGAGUUGGCCAAGGGCUUAAUUUAUGGACUUUGUAUUAUUCUGUUAAUCGGGAUGCUUUGCCAGGUCAUGUACUUAUUGCCUCAUUUGUGGUAUUUUAAAGUUUUCUGAACCCUUUCUUUGAAUGACUAUUCGAAUUUCUUGAGAAAUGUUCACACUAUCUGAGGGGUGUUUAGCCGUGGAACCAGAAAGCGCCGUGUAGCAAUUCAUUCUGUGCUUUCUACCAAAUACCAUGUAUUAUUCUCUCUCCAUGAAAGCAGGUCAUAAGGAAGUGAGCAGAUUCAGUAUCUUCCUCCUUAGAAGUAGAUCUGGUCACUUCUGUACCUGGGGGGCAUCAGACCAGGGUGGGUGAGCUGAGCGAUGAGCUGGUGUACAACUGAGAAAAACCUCAGCUCCACUGAAGAAAGUCAAUGCAAGAGCAUUGGCUGGUUUGGAAGUGUGGUAGAGAUUUCCUUUCUGGCUUCUCUCAGUGGCUUAUGCUGAGGACCGUGGCCCUAAUCGUGCACCCCGAUUCAAUCCCUUUGCUUGGAGCUGAGCCUGGGGCACCUGCUGAGCCCCUCUCAGUUCGAUACUGGUUCCUUGGAGAAGGAUCAAAAUGCAGCUGGAUGUGAGUGGGGUCAAAGGUCAGAGUAGAAACUCUUGGUGUCCUCCGGGAAGCCCCCACUGCCUCCCAUAGAAACCCCCCUCCCUACCGUACGGUGUCUCUAGGUGGCCCUGUCAGAGGACAGGGGUCAGGCAUUUUAUAUCAAGGGUGCUCUGAACAUAUUUUAUUUUUUAAAAGAACUAUGUUUGUGAAUUUUAUGUACACUGGCAAGCUUUUGAAAAUGUAUUUAAUUUUGUAAUGUUUACCAAUGAUUUAUUUACAAGCUAUUUACUCGAAUAAACGAAGCUGCUUACACCUC